UACAGGGGGGGCAAGCGUUGUUCGGAAUUACUGGGCGUAAAGGGCUCGUAGGUGGCCAACUAAGUCAGACGUGAAAUCCCUCAGCUUAACUGGGGAACUGCGUCUGAUACUGGAUGGCUUGAGUUUGGGAGAGGGAUGCGGAAUUCCAGGUGUAGCGGUGAAAUGCGUAGAUAUCUGGAGGAAUACCGGUGGCGAAGGCGGCAUCCUGGACCGACAUUGACGCUGAGGAGCGAAAGCUAGGGGAGCAAACGGG
rnacentral:rRNA from 1 species